ACGCUGACAGAAUGCUUAACACAUGCAAGUCGAUGAUGGGAGCUAGCUUGCUAGAAGAAGUCAUGGCGGACGGGUGAGUAACGUGUAAAGAACUUACCAUAUAGACUGGGAUAACAGAGGGAAACUUCUGAUAAUACUGGAUAAGUUAGUAGUAGCAUUACUAAGUAAUGAAAGGUAGCAAUACGCUAUAUGAGAGCUUUGCAUCCUAUUAGCUAGUUGGUGGGGUAAAAGCCUACCAAGGCGAUGAUAGGUAGCCGGCCUGAGAGGGUGGACGGCCACAAGGGGACUGAGAUACGGCCCUUACUCCUACGGGAGGCAGCAGUGGGGAAUAUUGGACAAUGGAGGCAACUCUGAUCCAGCAAUUCUGUGUGUGUGAAGAAGGUUUUAGGACUGUAAAACACUUUUAGUAGGGAAGAAAGAAAUGACGGUACCUACAGAAGAAGCGACGGCUAAAUACGUGCCAGCAGCCGCGGUAAUACGUAUGUCGCGAGCGUUAUCCGGAAUUAUUGGGCUUAAAGGGCAUCUAGGCGGUUAAACAAGUUGAAGGUGAAAACCUGUGGCUCAACCAUAGGCUUGCCUACAAAACUGUAUAACUAGAGUACUGGAAAGGUGGGUGGAACUACACGAGUAGAGGUGAAAUUCGUAGAUAUGUGUAGGAAUGCCGAUGAUGAAGAUAACUCACUGGACAGCAACUGACGCUGAAGUGCGAAAGC
rnacentral:rRNA from 1 species